CGGAGCUUGCUCCGCGGAUCAGUGGCGAACGGGUGAGUAACACGUGAGCAACCUACCCCUGACUCUGGGAUAACAGUUGGAAACAGCUGCUAAUACCGGAUACGACCUCAGCAGGCAUCUGCCGAGGUGGAAAGCUCCGACGGUCAGGGAUGGGCUCGCGGCCUAUCAGCUUGUUGGUGAGGUAACGGCUCACCAAGGCGACGACGGGUAGCCGGCCUGAGAGGGCGACCGGCCACACUGGGACUGAGAUACGGCCCAGACUCCUACGGGAGGCAGCAGUGGGGAAUAUUGCACAAUGGGCGCAAGCCUGAUGCAGCAACGCCGCGUGCGGGAUGACGGCCUUCGGGUUGUAAACCGCUUUCAGCAGGGACGAAGCUAACGUGACGGUACCUGCAGAAGAAGCACCGGCUAACUACGUGCCAGCAGCCGCGGUGAUACGUAGGGUGCGAGCGUUGUCCGGAUUUAUUGGGCGUAAAGAGCUUGUAGGCGGUUUGUUGCGUCGGAAGUGAAAACUCAGAGCUUAACUCUGAGCCUGCUUUCGAUACGGGCAGACUUGAGGGAUGUAGGGGAGAACGGAAUUCCUGGUGGAGCGGUGGAAUGCGCAGAUAUCAGGAGGAACACCAGUGGCGAAGGCGGUUCUCUGGACAUUUCCUGACGCUGAGAAGCGAAAGCGUGGGGAGCAAACAGGCUUAGAUACCAUGGUAGUCCACGCCGUAAACGGUGGGCACUAGGUGUGGGACCAUUCCACGGGUUCCGUGCCGUAGCUAACGCAUUAAGUGCCCCGCCUGGGGAGUACGGCCGCAAGGCUAAAACUCAAAGGAAUUGACGGGGGCCCGCACAAGCGGCGGAGCAUGCGGAUUAAUUCGAUGCAACGCGAAGAACCUUACCUGGGUUUGACAUAUACCGGAAACAUCUGGAGACAGGUGCCCCGCAAGGUCGGUAUACAGGUGGUGCAUGGCUGUCGUCAGCUCGUGUCGUGAGAUGUUGGGUUAAGUCCCGCAACGAGCGCAACCCUCGUUCUAUGUUGCCAGCGGAUAAUGCCGGGAACUCAUAGAAGACUGCCGGGGUCAACUCGGAGGAAGGUGGGGAUGACGUCAAGUCAUCAUGCCCCUUAUGUCCAGGGCUUCACGCAUGCUACAAUGGCUGGUACAAAGGGCUGCGAUAUCGCAAGAUGGAGCGAAUCCCAUAAAGCCAGUCUCAGUUCGGAUUGGGGUCUGCAACUCGACCCCAUGAAGUCGGAGUCGCUAGUAAUCGCAGAUCAGCAACGCUGCGGUGAAUACGUUCCCGGGCCUUGUACACACCGCCCGUCAAGUCAUG
rnacentral:rRNA from 1 species